UGGCAGUCUAUGACCAGGAAGAGGUUC
rnacentral:piRNA from 1 species